GAUCCAUGGCUCAGGAUGAACGCUAGCUACAGGCUUAACACAUGCAAGUCGAGGGGAAACGAUAGAGAAAGCUUGCUUUUUCUAGGCGUCGACCGGCGCACGGGUGAGUAACGCGUAUCCAACCUGCCCACCACUUGGGAUAACCUUGCGAAGUAAGACUAAUACCCAAUGACGUCUCUAGAAGACAUCUGAAAGAGAUUAAAGAUUUAUCGGUGAUGGAUGGGGAUGCGUCUGAUUAGCUUGUUGGCGGGUAACGGCCCACCAAGGCGACGAUCAGUAGGGGUUCUGAGAGGAAGGUCCCCCACAUUGGAACUGAGACACGGUCCAAACUCCUACGGGAGGCAGCAGUGAGGAAUAUUGGUCAAUGGACGAGAGUCUGAACCAGCCAAGUAGCGUGCAGGAUGACGGCCCUAUGGGUUGUAAACUGCUUUUAUAAGGGAAUAAAGUGAGUCUCGUGAGACUUUUUGCAUGUACCUUAUGAAUAAGGACCGGCUAAUUCCGUG
rnacentral:rRNA from 1 species